rnacentral:rRNA from 1 species
GGUUAAGUUAAUAAGGGCGCACGGUGAAUGCCUUGGCACUAGGAGCCGAAGAA